rnacentral:rRNA from 1 species
AUGCAGUCGACGGCGACCUUCGGGGGGGAUCAGUAGACGAACCGGGUGAGUACACGUGAGCAACUGCCCCUGAAACUCAUGGGAAUAACUCCGGUGAAAACCGGGGUCUAAUUACCGGAUAUGACAUCUUCUGCGGCAUCCAGAUGGUGUGCGAAAGCAUUUAUCAGGUUGGGGAUGGGCUCGCGGCCUAUCAGCUUGAUUGAGUGGGGAUGAUGGCCCACCAAGGUCGACGACGGGCUAGCCGGCCUGAGAGGGCGACCGGACCACACUGGGACUGAGACACGGCCCAGACUCCUACGGGAGGCACGCAGUGGGGAAUAUUGCGCAAUGGGCGAAAGCCUGACGCACGACGCCGCGUGACGGGAUGAAGGCCUUCGGGUUGUAAACCUCUUUCAGCGCCGAAGAAGCGAAAGUGACGGUCAGGCGCAGAAGAAGCACCGGCUAACUACGUGCCAGCAGCCGACGGCUAAUACG